ACUCCUACGGGAGGCAGCAGUAGGGAAUCUUCCGCAAUGGACGAAAGUCUGACGGAGCAACGCCGCGUGAGUGAAGAAGGUUUUCGGAUCGUAAAACUCUGUUGUAAGGGAAGAACAAGUACGUUAGUAACUGAACGUACCUUGACGGUACCUUACCAGAAAGCCACGGCUAACUACGUGCCAGCAGCCGCGGUAAUACA
rnacentral:rRNA from 1 species